GAUGAACGCUGGCGGCGUGCCUAAUACAUGCAAGUCGAGCGAACAGACGAGGAGCUUGCUCCUCUGACGUUAGCGGCGGACGGGUGAGUAACACGUGGAUAACCUACCUAUAAGACUGGGAUAACUUCGGGAAACCGGAGCUAAUACCGGAUAAUAUAUUGAACCGCAUGGUUCAAUAGUGAAAGACGGUUUUGCUGUCACUUAUAGAUGGAUCCGCGCCGCAUUAGCUAGUUGGUAAGGUAACGGCUUACCAAGGCAACGAUGCGUAGCCGACCUGAGAGGGUGAUCGGCCACACUGGAACUGAGACACGGUCCAGACGCCUGCGAGAGGCAGCAGUAGGGAAUCUUCCGCAAUGGGCGAAAGCUUGACGGAGCAACGCCGCGUGAGUGAUGAAGGUCUUCGGAUCGUAAAACUGUGUUAUUAGGGAAGAACAAAUGUGUAAGUAACUAUGCACGUCUUGACGGUACCUAAUCAGAAAGCCACGGCUAACUACGUG
rnacentral:rRNA from 1 species